rnacentral:rRNA from 1 species
GGGUGCGGACGUUCCACUGGUAACAAGUUCUGGAUGUCGUUGGGUCUGCUGGUGGUAGCCACUACCAACUGCGCUGAUAACACUAGUGCCAAGAACCUCUACACCAUCUCCCUGAAGGGAGUCAAGGUGCGCCUGAACAGGCUCCCUUCUGCCUAUGUUGAUGACAUGGUUAUGGCAACUGUUAAGAAGGGAAAGCCUGACUUGAGGAAGAAGGUCAUGCCGGCUGUCAUUCUGAGGCAGCGUAAGCCAUGGUGUCGAAAGGACGGUGUCUUCAUGUACUUUGAAGGUACUGCCAAGUUCUUAUGA